rnacentral:antisense_RNA from 1 species
AGAGAGGCUUCCACGACGGCGACGUUCUGGGAGCUUUUCUUUUAC